ACCCGUACCUCAAACGACCUCAGAUCAACUCCAGAUUUGAGAGAAACUUGUACCAACCUCAUAGCAAGAGAUUUCAAGUCCUAGACCUGAUGUUUGGGUGGCUGCAAGAGAGGGAGAGGCAAUAUGGUUGGUGGCACAAAGGGGGAGGGGCUCAAAAGCACUAGCGCCUCCCCUGCUUUUCCUGCCUUCUAUGGACCUGGCGGC
rnacentral:lncRNA from 1 species